UCUUGCCAACAUUUCUUCUUUGUUCCACUACAAGAAUAUAAGUAUCAUCUCUCUUUAUAUUUACUUGCCAUAGGGCAGCUAUCCUCUUCCAUUCUGUCGUUCUCCAUCACUGGAAUCUAGCUAGAGAUAGACUUGAUCAAUACAAAGUUAAAACCAUCCUGAGAAACAAAUGGCAAUGCAGACAACUGCUAUCCAAGAAGAUAAAGGCAAUGGGAUAUUUCAUAAAGCUAUGAACUCAGAGUCAAAGCCUGUUUGGAUCCCUGGACCAGUGAUCAUUGGCGCUGGACCCUCAGGGCUAGCUGUUGCAGCAUGCCUUAAAGAAAGAGGUGUUCCCUUUUUGAUACUAGAGAAAGAGAGAUGUAUAGGUUCUCUGUGGACACUGAAGACAUACAAUAGUCUACAGCUUCACCUCCCAAAGGAAACCUGCAAACUCCCUCACAUGCCAUUCCCUCCUGAAGUCCCAGCAUACCCCACUAAACAACAGUUCAUAAGUUACUUGGAGGCUUAUGCUAAGCAUUUCGCAAUUGAACCCAUGUUUAGACAGGAGGUUCAAUCAGCUAUAUAUGAUGCAAGAAUGGGGUUCUGGCGGGUCCAAUCCAACGAGUCUGAGUUUCUGUGCCGGUGGUUUAUCGUAGCAACUGGAGAGAAUGCAGAACCAGUGUUACCUAAUAUUGAAGGAAUCUCAGAUUUUAAAGGAAGUUUAAUCCACACCAGCAGAUUCAAGGACGGAGCUGAUUUUACAGGACAAAAGGUUUUGGUUGUAGGCUGUGGAAACUCAGGCAUGGAGAUUAGCUUAGAUCUAUGUAAUAAUGAUGCUCAAGUUUCUCUGGCAGUGAGAGAUAAGUUACACAUCUUGCCUAGAGAGGUCCUUGGCAGAUCAACCUUUUCUCUUUCAAUGUGGUUGUUGAAUUGGUUCCCAGUAAAAUUAGUUGACUGGUUCCUCCUCAUCUGCUCACAAUUAAUUCUAGGCGACACACAGAAAAUGGGCAUACGAAGACCCAAAAUUGGACCACUUGAACAAAAAAAUUCUACUGGGAAAACCCCGGUGCUGGAUGUUGGAGCUUUCUCUAAAAUUAAAUCAGGAAAAAUCAAGGUGGUUUGCGGUGUUCAAAGAUUUACAGCCAGCGGCGCAGAGUUUGUGGAUGGACAUGUAGAGAAUUUUGAUUCAGUGAUCUUAGCAACAGGUUAUAGAAGCACUGUAACAUCAUGGCUCAAGGAGGACAACUUCUUCAACGAGAAUGACGGUUAUCCAAGAAAUCCAUUCCCCGACAACUGGAAAGGCAAGAAUGGACUUUACAGUGUUGGUUUUACCAGGAGAGGAUUGUUGGGUUCAUCCAUUGAUGCACACAGAGUAGCAGAAGAUAUUGCAAGACAAUGGAACUGUGAGACAAAGCAUCUGCGAAUAGAGUCAUGACCAGAACUUAUAUAUGUGGUUUAUUUAUUCAGAGUUUAACGUUCUGUUUAUGGUUUGUGUCGAGUAUCAACAGCACAGGAAAACUGUGAUCUCAGUGCUAGAGGAGUGCUAUUACAGGGAAGUGUCUGUUUGAUUGUUUUCUACAUGAGGUGACGUAGUGCUUAGUCACAGAAGAGUUGUUCGUUAAGCUUUCAUUCCUAACAUCUGCUAUCACAUCACAAAGAGCUUGACCCUACCGUAUAGAUUAAGAUUUUUCUUCAAGAAAAGAGGAUGUCAUAUG